rnacentral:rRNA from 1 species
UACGUAGGGUGCAAGCGUUGUCCGGAAUUAUUGGGCGUAAAGAGCUCGUAGGCGGUUUGUUGCGUCGGCUGUGAAAUCCCGAGGCUCAACCUCGGGUCUGCAGUCGAUACGAGCAAACUAGAGUGUUGCAGGGGAGACUGGAAUUCCUGGUGUAGCGGUGAAAUGCGCAGAUAUCAGGAGGAACACCGGUGGCGAAGGCGGGUCUCUGGGCCGUAACUGACGCUGAGGAGCGAAAGCAUGGGGAGCGAACAGG